CUGUUGGAACAGAACAAAGUUCACAUCAUCAACAACAACAGAGGUGGUAUUUCUACCAAUGAGAGAGAGAGAGGUUGAAAAGAAAGUUACAGACAUAAAAGGAGAGACACAAAUAGAAUCACAACUUUUAGCUCUGUUGAACCGACUUUUCUCCCUGAGGAAGUAUUCUGUGGAUUAGUUCAACCUGACGUGACACAACCACGUCGAGGGAAUUAUAAGUCUUGAAGUUAUGUGACUUCAGUGCGGACGGACAACUGCCAGGAGAACUAUGUAGCAGCGGACAUCUGCAAGUCAUUCCACCUACAUCCAAUCAACCCUGACUUUUUGAGGAUCGUGAAAAACUCAUGGAGGUGCUGAGUGGCCCCUGGGCGGACUUGGCUCUGCUCCUUCGACGGACCAUCACACAGACGGACAGAGAGACGGACAGCUUUCUUCCUCUCUGGCUGUUUGGCCUGCUGCUGUUCCUGUCGGUCUCUCUUCUGCUGCUUCAAUUGAUUAUCUACCUCAGCUGGAAACUCAGACAGGUUGAGGCUGAGCUUUCGGCGUUUCCGCAAGACAGCAGCGCCAUCUACAGGAAGACGUGUGGAUGUAAAAACCAGAGCAGGAGCGUUGGGUCGCACUCUCACACCUGACAGGACACGGGCACACGCACACACUUCAUCAAAAGACCAGAUCGAAAAGACACUAAAAACCUGUUGAAAGGAACACUUGAGUGAUUGUUGAGUAUCUCUAUAGAGCAAUGUGAACAAUAUCGCAGACAUAAUGAGGGUGCCUUAAGAAGAUGAAUGUUAAAGCUUGCAA